GAGAAGGCGUUCCAGGAGGGAGCCCCGGCAAGGAGCCCCGGGAAAGAGCCCCGGGCCGGGCCUAGUCGCGCCCGGUCCCGCCCGUCGCCCGGCAACGGCCGCGCCGGCGAUCGCCUGCGUUAGUCGGGAAUCGCCUCAUGUCGCCGCAGCGCCACUUCCUCAGCCGGGCCAAAGCCGCGCCGCCAGGAUUUAUUAUCUGUGCCCGUGCCCUGCCAGGAUUUAUUAUCGGUGUCCCUAUCCUGCAAAUAACCCUGUUCCCACAAGGAGCGCAUCCAUACAUCCAUGACACUCGUACCAGGGCCGAAACACCUUGGUCGACCCCACCCUUGCGGUCAGGUAAUUGUCCAAAAGCUUCCUACAUGGGAUGUGAGCGCUUUCCGUAAGAAACACACUCAUUUUAAUGCUUUCUGGAAUACAGGUAUCAUAGCAUCUGUGAUAAAACCAGUUUAAAUCAGAUUUUAGGCAUGGAGAAAUUAUAGUGGCAUAGAAAUAAAUCACCUGGUGCUUGCACCUCCUAAUAUUCCAAUUUUUAUUUCCCCAAAGAGCGGUUGUGCGAUCCACCUGGCAAGCAGCUUUCCCCCGGUGAGCGGACACUGUGCCAAGCAGCACACGUUCCUGCAGAGCUGGUGUCCUAGAGGUCAUUGUCCCCAGUAUGGGCCACGAUGAAGGCACCUGAAUUCCACGGUGCUCUGGGAAUACCAAUCUCAUGCAUCAAAGGAAAGCUGUACACUUCAGGACCAGUAAAAGAGCUGUUGGAGAGCAAUUUCUUUUCAGCUUACACUGGAGACAAGGUUACUAUUUAUGAUUCUUCUUUUAAUGGAGAAAAUACAAGAGUGAAAGAGUUGACUUUCUGAGUACAGAAGUAAUAUGGAAUCUCUCCUCCAGAAGUUAAGGGCAUUUGAGAGUUAUGAAAAAUCCAAAGCCAAGACAAUUACGGAAACAACUGCGCAAGGAAGUGGUGGAAUCAUCAUCUGGAAGUGUUCAAAAGGCCUGUGGAUUGGGCACUUUGGGACAAGUGAAUAUGGUGGUACUGGUUUAAUGUUUGGCCUUGAUGAUCUUAGAGGUCUUUUACAACCUAAACAAUUCUGUGAUUCUCAAUUUGUUGCUGUUUCCUUCAGUAUAAAAUACAAAGAGCAUCGGAUUGAAUUAUUUAACUCUUCAAAGCAAGCUCAUUGUGUUCCUUAUUUAGUUCCUUGGAAACUUCCAAAAAAUAUGUACAACUCCUUACCACAGCUUGUUGUGGAUACUAAAAUUUUACAGGGUUUUGAAAAACAAUAGCACAAAUUACUGGAAAGACAAUGAAAUACAAUGUGAAAGCCUCUGACUUAGGAAGUCUUGAGGCUGGAGAAGUGCCUGCACUUGCCUGCUCUCCUUUUUUACUCUUCUCUCAGCAUCUGUUGCUCAGCACUGUCAGAAAAGUAUGAGGCUAGUUAGACCUUUUGUCUGAGCCAGCAUAGCUGUUCUUCUGUCCCUAUGUGCUCAGAGGCACAGUGUGGUGAGCUUGGCUGGGUUAUGCAACACACUUUUUUGCCUCUUCCAAAAUUAUUUCAGGUCUCCCUGUUGUUCCUGUUGCCACAGUCCUGGCAUACCUGACUGACAAUCUGUUCCUAUGCUGGGCUUAUCCACCCCAGUCUCAGCCUUUGGUAACUGUCUUGGACAGACAGAGCCAAAGUUUGGAUAUGAAAGAAGAGGGAGGCUGUGCCUCCAUAUGGCUGUGAGGAUAGUGUGCUAUGCAGGAGCAGAUUGAGCCGUAGAAGUGCUGUGGGAGGAUUAUAUUCACUGUACACUUCCUGGCCUUUCUUGCCCCAAGUGAAUCAACAUCUGGGCUGAGGGCUGCAAAAUGAGCAACCUCCAUCUGCUGUCACCAGUGUCUCUGUGCCAGAGGACAUUUCAACCUUCAUGAAAUAUGGGAUCACUGGUGAUUUUCCCAAGUUUGUAGUGCAGUAUAACAUGGCACAUUCUUUAACACUAGCUUCCUGCUUCUCUCUUGUGCCAUGCUGAGCAUCAGAUGUCUAGGACAUCUUGCCCUUUUCAUGCACUGCCAUCAUCAGCUACUCCACCUUCUGUCCAGCACAGCUUCACUGGCUACCUUGAGUGUAGGGCCUGUAUGUUUUGUAGGUGAACAGGCUCUGCUGUGCAAUUUGUGCCUCUGGGGCCCUAUUUCUAGUUGAGCUACUGAACAGAAACCUGAAAAAGUAUCACGGAAAUCUGCAACAGAAAUGUGAAUGUUAAAGAAUGGGAAAAACACAGUGAGCUAGAAAAAAAUGGAAUUACGAGAAUUUGAACCUGAACUCCUUUUUGACAUCUCAGAACAUGCUUCAGGAUGUCCCUGAGGACCUGGGCUCGACAGAGUGGUUAGGGUCAAUAGAAAGUGUGCAUACCUCAUCUUUUUUUCCAAAAUGGACCUUUAAAUGGAGGGUAUUUGGCACUAGCAAAGGCAGUUCAGUAAGUAUGCGUCUCUCCUUCCAGCGCAAUGUGUACAAGUUGUAAUCAGCUCACAGUUCUGCCAGAAGAACUUUCUGUUGUAGACAUGACCUCAGUCCUUUACAGCAAGGAACACAGGCUAAUAUUUGUGCAACAGAGCUAUGUGUGCAAAAAUCUCUACUGCAACAGUACAGGCAUGUGAGACUAAAUAGCCAGUUAGAUGUGAACUGAUUGUUCAUACAAUCCAAAGAACAGUGCAUGUACAGAAACCAUACUUAGAAAAGGUAUAAUCAUGCUUUCUAGCACAUAAUAUUGUGACAUUUUUGUAGGAAGCUACAUUUACCUUUUCAUUUCUAUCUUACUUUUCCUCCUGAAGAAAAGGGUAGUUUUUCUCUGCCUUCAGUAAUACUCUGACCAUUUAAUAAAACAGUAUCACAUGUUCA
rnacentral:lncRNA from 1 species